CAAUUUUUACCUACCUAUUAUCUUCACAUAGGUCUUCGAUUUUAGAAAAUAACUGCUGGUUACCUAAGAGGUAGCAUCACAGUGAGAAAGCCUCUAAAUCCAUUGCAGGCAAGGAUUGAUUCAUGCAGAUUUGAAGGACAAUUUUCUGAAGACUCUUCUGUUUUUUUCUCUUCCUCCUGGGACUUCUCUCCACUACUAUUAUCAAAUUAAGUAAGUAAUGGAUGUAAAAUUCCUCUUUUAUA
rnacentral:lncRNA from 1 species